AUAUAUAUAUAUGACAACGGUAUUAUCAACAAAGUACAGCUGGAAAGUGAUGUUGAGUUUUCUGUAUACUCAAUACCAAUUGACUAUGUUUUGUUAUCAUUGAUUUUGUUGUUGUUUCAUAGGCUAAAGCAAAAUUAUCUUUCUGUAUAUCAAACACACAUACACAAAAUCUUACGUACACACAUACAGAUACACAUUUUUACGUCUAUAACAUAUACCGACAUCUAUACUCACGCACACACACACAAACACGCACACAUGUAUAUAUACAAUUACAAAAGUAAACAUAAUUUAUCAGCAACAACAGAUAAUAUGUUGUCAAUUAAUACAAGUUCACACGAGCAAACACCCUUCAGCAACACUAUUUGUAUUUGCAUAAAAUCGGGAUUUUACUAAUUUGCUGAUCAUCAUUUUGAGUUCACAUUAAUAAUAUUAGUCACAUAUCAAUGAAUAUUUAGAUAAAUAUAUUCGCACGCACAUGCAUACCCAAAUAUGCAAGUACAUACAUGGUUAUUUAUAUAUAUAUAUAUAUAAAUAAAUUCAUAUAUAACUACAGUAAAUAAUAUAUGAAGUCGUAUACUAGCAGAUAUACAUAUACAUCGGCAUACGUUUAAAUAUUUACACAUAGGGUCAUAUGAGUGCUUAUAUACACGCAUGUAACAUAUGACAAACAUAGCACACCUUUAUUUAGAAAAGAAAUUGUAAAAUAAUAAGAAAUAUACUUCAUAAAAAGAAAGCUUUAAAACCAGCUGUACUCAUUGACAAUCUCUAUUAUUACUAGUGUGUGUGUGUGCGUGUGUAUAUGGCAUAUACUUAGAUUUUAUAUACAUAUAUGCAUACAUAGAUAAAAAAUAUACUUACAUAGUUAUAUACAUACGCAUAUGUAUGCAUAUACACACACGCACACAUUUUUAUAACGCAGCCUUAAUGCAAAAUUAUGGUUAAAUGAAAAUAAAAUUUAUAAUAAUAUUAAAUAUAGUAAUAAUAUUAAAAUACAAAACAAAAAAAGGUUGAAGGAACAAAAAUUAUCAAUCUGGAUAUUCUACCUGGCCGAAGUGAAAUUUUAAUGCAGUGAAGUUACAAGACAAAGGUUUGAGGAUCAUUACCACAAAUAAUCGCCUUCCUAUUUAUGCAUUGUAAUAUGAACAAGAAAAAUAUUGCACUGCCAAUAUUGCUUUACCUAAAAAGAACAGUAAAAUACAACAAGAAAUCUAUUUGAAGCUUCGACAGCAUCUGUACCUAAUUUGUUUCCGACAUUAUUAACAUGGUAAUUCAUGCAGAGUCAUUAGGAUUAACAGUAUAAAGGCAUAUGUUGAACCAAAUGACGUCAUCUUAUUCCAUCCUGUGAGAGGACAUUUUGUUUAGGAACCAAGCCAUUUAUUUUUGCAUUUUGUCUGGCAAUCGAGUAAGGCUUCGAAAUUUUCGAGAUAUCAUAUAAUAUAUACACUGAAAC